GUAGGUGGCAAGCGUUGUCCGGAAUUAUUGGGCGUAAAGCGCGCGCAGGCGGUCCUUUAAGUCUGAUGUGAAAGCCCACGGCUCAACCGUGGAGGGUCAUUGGAAACUGGGGGACUUGAGUACAGAAGAGGAAAGCGGAAUUCCAAGUGUAGCGGUGAAAUGCGUAGAGAUUUGGAGGAACACCAGUGGCGAAGGCGGCUUUCUGGUCUGUAACCGACGCUGAGGCGCGAAAGCGUGGGGAGCAAACAGGAUUAGAUACCCUGGUAGUCCACGCCGUAAACGAUGAGUGCUAAGUGUUAGGGGGUUUCCCGCCCCCCUUAGUGCUGCAGCUAACGCAUUAAGCACUCCGCCUGGGGGAGUACGGCCGCAAGGCUG
rnacentral:rRNA from 1 species